AUUGAACGCUGGCGGCAGGCCUAACACAUGCAAGUCGAACGAGUGGCGGAAGGGAGGGUAAUGCAUGUGAAUCUAGGUUAUGGAGGGGGAUCCCUACGGGACACUGUAGCUAAUACCGCGUCCCAUAGGAUGAGCCCAAGUGGGUUUAGGUAGUUGGUGAGGUAAAGGCUCACCAAGCCGACGAUCUCUAGCUGGUCUGAGAGGAUGACCAGCCACACUGGGACUGAGACACGGCCCAGACUCCUACGGGAGGCAGCAGUGGGGAAUAUUGCGCAAUGGGGGAAACCUGACACAGCCAUGCCGCGUGAAUGAAGAAGGCCUUCGGGUUGUAAAGUUCUUUAGGUAGCGAGGCGUUAACUACAGAAGAAGCACCGGCUAACUCCGUGCCAGCAGCCGCGGUAAUAC
rnacentral:rRNA from 1 species